GUGCCCGUAGCUUAAUGGAUAGAGCACUUCUUUGCGGAAGAAGAGGUUGGAGGUUCGAAUCCUCUCGGGCGCA
rnacentral:tRNA from 1 species